rnacentral:misc_RNA from 1 species
GGCAUGUUCUGCUUCACAGGACUCAAGCCCGACCAGGUUGAAAGACUCACAAAGGAUUUCUCCAUUUACCUGACAAAGGACGGAAGGAUUUCAGUGGCUGGUGUGUCCUCCAGCAAUGUCGAUUAUUUAGCCAAGGCGAUGCAUGAGGUUUCAAAGUAAACAGGACCUCCAGUGACCAAAAAAAUCGAACAAUUCGUACACAUUACGCAGAACAGAGUGAAUACAGCGUGGCAAAAGCUGACUCGUUUAAAGGGCCAGUUUUUGACCGACAUGUUGAGAGUUUUGUAUUUUUUUAAUCCGAGAUCUGAUGAAAAAUAAGUGCUAUAAAACAUUAAAUUGUUACCUGACUUGAGAUGUGGUUUUUCUCCAUGGUUUGGUCAUUUGCUAGUGUACUGGUACACUAAAACUUUUGUUUUAAUAAAAAAAAAAAUAAUG